rnacentral:rRNA from 1 species
AACAGAUGAUGCCUAUCAACUGUUUAAAAGAUGGUUCUGCUAUCACUCUUGGGGAUGGGGCCUGCGGUGCAUUAGCUAGUUGGUAGGGGUAACGGGCCUACCAAGGCGAUGAUGCAUAGCCCGAGUUGAGAGACUGAUCGGCCACAUUGGGACUGAGACACGGCCCAAACUCCUACGGGAGGCAGCAGUAGGGAAUCUUCCACAAUGGACGCAAGUCUGAUGGAGCAACGCCGCGUGAGUGAAGAAGGGUUUCAGCUCGUAAAGCUCUGUUGUUGGUGAAGAAGGACAGGGGGUAGUAACUGACCUUUGUUUGACGGUAAUCAAUUAGAAAGUCACGGGCUAACUACGUGCCAGCAGCCGCGGUAAAU